AUGGCGGACGACGUCGCCCCGUGCACCGCAUCCGGCUACCUCGACCCCUCCUACUGGGACGGGCGGUUCGGGAAGGAGGAGCACUACGAGUGGUUCAAGGACUUCUCCCACUUCCGCCACCUCCUCGCCCCGCUCCUCUCCCCCUCCCUCUCGGUUCUGGAGGUCGGCUGCGGCAAUUCGCGGCUCGGGGAGGAGCUCUUAAGGGAGGGCGUCACUGGCGGCGUCACCUGCAUCGACCUCUCGCCGGUCGCCGUCCAGAGGAUGCGCGACAGACUGGCGGAGCAGGGCACCAGUGGUGUGGAUGUGGUGGUGGCUGACAUGCUUGACCUUCCGUUCGAGAGCGAGAGCUUCGACCUUGUGAUCGAGAAAGGGACCAUGGAUGUGUUGUUUGUGGACAGUGGUGAUCCAUGGAACCCCAAUCCUACAACAGUGGAUAAUGUAACCAAAAUGCUUGAAGGUAUCCACAAGGUUUUGAAGCCAGAUGGCAAAUUUGUAUCAAUUACCUUUGGACAGCCACACUUCCGUCGUCGAUUUUUCGAAGCACCUGAGUUUACAUGGUCUGUUGAGUGGAACACCUUUGGUGAUGGCUUCCAUUAUUUCUUCUACACCCUUCAGAAGGGCAAAAGGUCACCAGAGUCCAACGGUCACCAAGUUACAUUACCUGCUGCUCCAAGCUUCAAUAUGCUGCAUGAAGAGCUCGAAAGCGAGGAUUACAUAUUCCGCACAAAUGUUGAUGAGUUAUAA
rnacentral:rRNA from 1 species